rnacentral:tRNA from 1 species
CGAGCUUUAGAUAGCUCAAUCAA